rnacentral:lncRNA from 10 species
GAAGAUAAGCAUCUAGAAUUCAUGUUUAUAGGAUAUGCAUCUGAGCCUGUGAUGAGACCUCUACUGGGAUUCUUCUUAAAAGGAGUCAAGAAAUGAAAUAAACAGCAAGGGAUAACAGAAGUGUAGGAUUGAUUGUGAGCUUCUCCCCCCAAACUCAGAAAAACUGCCAGAAGCUCAGAAAAGUAAGCUGCUUGCUCAAGAAUGGACGGCUUCAAGGUGGCAGAGCUGGAAGUUUCUAACUCACUCACCUCAUACUCAGACCUGCACUGUUUUUCAAGACAGUCAAUAUUUCAGGCCAUCUACUGAUUGGAUGAGGCCCACCAGCAUUCUGAAAGACAAGGAAUCUGAGACCUGGCUGGGAGAAGAGGACUUGCCUAAAGUUAUCCCACACAGCAAAUUAGUUGGAAAACCAGGAUAGUUGAGUAAAUAUCCUGGAGCCCAGCCAAGUAAUGAAGCCAGAAUUCAGAAAGCUGUUUUGGCUAGAUCUUGGAUUUUUACAAUAAAGGGUCUGUAAGGGAUAUUUGUGAAAAAUGUUGACACUUGACGGCUGUCCUGAUUCAUUCAGCUACCUAGGUUAUCUCUGCCUCUCUUUGACUUGUGUUUUGUCUUUUAAGAUGGCAGUCUUGCUCUUUUGCCUGGGCUGGUCUUGAACUCCUGGGCUCAAGCAGUUUUCCUGCUUUAGCCUCCUGAGUAGCUGGGGCUACAGGAGGACAUCACUGUGCCCAGCUCUCUCCGUAUCUUUGACUAGGUUAUUUUACAACCCCAUACGAUAGAAAUGAAGUUAUAGAAAACUGAUAGGAAUACAAAUAAUUAUUAUCCAUGGAAAUGCAAAUUGGAUCUAAUGGAAUGAAACUGAUUUUUUUUCCAGCAGAUAGUGACCACCUUUGUAUCCUUUUGUAAAUUCAUUUCAGCAUUCCAUAUUUGACUAAAAAUGUGUGACACUCCCAAUUUGCUUUUGAAUUCAUUGUAAUAUCUACCAAUUCCCUCAUUAAUUAAUGAGUUAAAUAAAGCCUUUGGCAUGUAUUUAUUUUGUAUCUAUAGGAGAGUCAUGAGUAUAUCUUCUUUUAAAAGGUAUUCUUCAGUAGGUCUUAGGGUGCACAAUACUUACAUCUUAUUUUCUCAUUCUACACUGUUCCCACACCUCACCCAGAAUAAAUGUAAUCUCCUGUGAGCUUCUGAACAUCAUGAAGAAUAACAGCUCAUUUUGUAAAGUCAUUUAGUAUUCG